AGAGUUUGAUCAUGGCUCAGAACGAACGCUGGCGGCAGGCCUAACACAUGCAAGUCGAGCGCGCCCUUCGGGGUGAGCGGCGGACGGGUUAGUAACGCGUGGGAACGUACCCUUUGGUAGGGAAUAGCCACUGGAAACGGUGAGUAAUACCCUAUGAGCCCUUCGGGGGAAAGAUUUAUCGCCAAAGGACCGGCCCGCGUUAGAUUAGGUAGUUGGUGGGGUAAUGGCCUACCAAGCCUACGAUCUAUAGCUGGUUUUAGAGGAUGAUCAGCAACACUGGGACUGAGACACGGCCCAGACUCCUACGGGAGGCAGCAGUGGGGAAUCUUGGACAAUGGGGGCAACCCUGAAUCCAGCCAUGCCGCGUGAGUGAAGAAGGCCUUAGGGUCGUAAAGCUCUUUCGCCUGUGAAGAUAAUGACGGUAGCAGGUAAAGAAACCCCGGCUAACUCCGUGCCAGCCGCAGC
rnacentral:rRNA from 1 species